GAUGAACGCUGGCGGCGUGCCUAAUACAUGCAAGUCGAGCGAACAGACGAGGAGCUUGCUCCCCUGACGUUAGCGGCGGACGGGUGAGUAACACGUGGAUAACCUACCUAUAAGACUGGGAUAACUUCGGGAAACCGGAGCUAAUACCGGAUAAUAUAUUGAACCGCAUGGUUCAAUAGUGAAAGACGGUUUUGCUGUCACUUAUAGAUGGAUCCGCGCCGCAUUAGCUAGUUGGUAAGGUAACGGCUUACCAAGGCAACGAUGCUUAGCCGACCUGAGAGGGUGAACGGCCACACUGUAACUGAGACACGGUCCAGACUCCUACGCGAGGGAGGAGUAUGGAAGCUUCCGAAAUGAACGAAAGCCGGACGGAGCAACGCCACGUAAGUGAUGAAGGUCUUCAAUUCGUGAAGCUCUGUUAUUAGGGAAGAACAAAUAUGUAAGUAACUAUGCACGUCUUGACGGUACCUAUUCAGAAAGCCACGGCUAACUACGUG
rnacentral:rRNA from 1 species